UGAUAGAAAAAUAAAUCACACAGAUACUCU
rnacentral:piRNA from 1 species